CGUGGAUGUGAGAGUGUGUGUUUGUGUGUUGCGUGAACUAUUUUUCCUGCGUGAAACACUUUCCAUACUGCGCCAUCCGCGGUGUUCUUUCUGCUUCAUCGGAGGACGAAUUUUUAUCAUCUAAUUGUUUGGUUUCAGAUGUGUGCUGCUACCGCUAGCUGUUCCUCAAACUACUUAAAAAGUGUGACACUGUGUGCACAGGCGUUCAAGUUUCAAUUGAUCCUCAAGCACAAAGCCUUCAUACAACACCGCGGUUGAGGCGCGCCAAAUCUGAUGACAUCUUUCCUGAACCAAGCAGGCUGAACACGCGCACCACCACGGGCUCUAGCGCGGUGUGAAGAGGGAAGAAGAAAAGACAGAAUUGGAAACAGCCGCACCAGGCUUCCAACCACCGUGUGUGUGUAUGUAAGUAUGUGAGAACACAUGUGUGAAUCCUCUUGUGGGAACUGCAAAAAGAAGAGAAUAAAGAGUGUGAAGCAGCUAGACUGCCGCAACCAAAUCAA